UACAGAGGAGCCAAGCGUUGUCCGGAUUGACUGGGCGUAAAGCGCACGCAGGCGGGGGUGCGCGUGGGGUGUGAAAUCUGGCCGCUUAACGGCCAGGCGCCAUCCCAUACGGCACGCCUGGAGCCUUGCAGAGGUCGGUGGAAUUGCCGGUGUAGUGGUGAAAUGUGUAGAGAUCGGCAGGAACACCCAGGGGGAAACCAGCCGACUGGGCAAGUGCUGACGCUGAGGUGCGAGAGCGUGGGGAGCGAACCGG
rnacentral:rRNA from 1 species